rnacentral:rRNA from 1 species
UACAGAGGUCCCAAGCGUUGUUCGGAUUUACUGGGCGUAAAGGGCGCGUAGGCGGUCAGCACAAGUCAGUUGUGAAAUCUCCGGGCUUAACCCGGAGCGGUCAAGUGAUACUGUCGUGCUAGAGUGCGGAAGGGGCUACUGGAAUUCUCGGUGUAGCGGUGAAAUGCGUAGAUAUCGAGAGGAACACCUGCGGCGAAGGCGGGUAGCUGGGCCGACACUGACGCUGAUGCGCGAAAGCCAGGGGAGCGAACGGG